UACGUAGGGUGCAAGCGUUAAUCGGAAUUACUGGGCGUAAAGCGUGCGCAGGCGGUUUUGUAAGUCUGACGUGAAAGCCCCGGGCUCAACCUGGGAAUGGCAUUUGGGACUGCAAGGCUGGAGUACGGCAGAGGAGACUGGAAUUCCUGGUGUAGCAGUGAAAUGCGUAGAUAUCAGGAGGAAUACCGAUGGCGAAGGCAGGUCUCUGGGCUGAUACUGACGCUCAUGCACGAAAGCGUGGGGAGCAAACAGG
rnacentral:rRNA from 1 species